rnacentral:lncRNA from 1 species
AAGGAAAAAAUGUGUGUUAAAAUGGACCCUUUAGAAUAAAUAAUUAAAAUAAAAUAUUAAUAUUAAAUAAAUACGAAAAUAAAAAUAAAAUAAUAUUAAAUAAGACAUCAAGAAAAGUGAAAAAUAUUUUUUAGGAUUUUUAUGAAUAAAGAAAAUAUUUUAAAAUAAUUAAAAGCAAAACAUAAAUUAAAUAAGAAUUAAAA